GAUGAACGCUGGCGGCGUGCCUAAUAUAUGCAAGUCGAGCGAACGGACGAGAAGCUUGCUUUUCUGAUGUUAGCGGCGGACGGGUGAGUAACACGUGGAUAACCUACCUAUAAGACUGGGAUAACUUCGGGAAACCGGAGCUAAUACCGGAUAAUAUUUUGAACCGCAUGGUUCAAAAGUGAAAGACGGUCUUGCUGUCACUUAUAGAUGGAUCCGCGCUGCAUUAGCUAGUUGGUAAGGUAACGGCUUACCAAGGCAACGAUGCAUAGCCGACCUGAGAGGGUGAUCGGCCACACUGGAACUGAGACACGGUCCAGACUCCUACGGGAGGCAGCAGUAGGGAAUCUUCCGCAAUGGGCGAAAGCCUGACGGAGCAACGCCGCGUGAGUGAUGAAGGUCUUCGGAUCGUAAAACUCUGUUAUUAGGGAAGAACAUAUGUGUAAGUAACUGUGCACAUCUUGACGGUACCUAAUCAGAAAGCCACGGCUAACUACGUG
rnacentral:rRNA from 1 species